rnacentral:rRNA from 1 species
GGGUUGUGAGGUUAAGCGACUAAGCGUACACGGUGGAUGCCCUGGCAGUCAGAGGCGAUGAAGGACGUGCUAAUCUGCGAUAAGCGUCGGUAAGGUGAUAUGAACCGUUAUAACCGGCGAUUUCCGAAUGGGGAAACCCAGUGUGAUCCGUCACACUAUCAUUAACUGAAUCCAUAGGUUAAUGAGGCGAACCGGGGGAACUGAAACAUCUAAGUACCCCGAGGAAAAGAAAUCAACCGAGAUUCCCCCAGUAGCGGCGAGCGAACGGGGAGCAGCCCAGAGCCUGAAUCAGUAUGUGUGUUAGUGGAAGCGUCUGGAAAGGCGUGCGAUACAGGGUGACAGCCCCGUACACAAAAAUGCACAUGCUGUGAGCUCGAUGAGUAGGGCGGGACACGUGGUAUCCUGUCUGAAUAUGGGGGGACCAUCCUCCAAGGCUAAAUACUCCUGACUGACCGAUAGUGAACCAGUACCGUGAGGGAAAGGCGAAAAGAACCCCGGCGAGGGGAGUGAAAAAGAACCUGAAACCGUGUACGUACAAGCAGUGGGAGCCUCUUUAUGGGGUGACUGCGUACCUUUUGUAUAAUGGGUCAGCGACUUAUAUUCUGUAGCAAGGUUAACCGAAUAGGGGAGCCGAAGGGAAACCGAGUCUUAACUGGGCGUUAAGUUGCAGGGUAUAGACCCGAAACCCGGUGAUCUAGCCAUGGGCAGGUUGAAGGUUGGGUAACACUAACUGGAGGACCGAACCGACUAAUGUUGAAAAAUUAGCGGAUGACUUGUGGCUGGGGGUGAAAGGCCAAUCAAACCGGGAGAUAGCUGGUUCUCCCCGAAAGCUAUUUAGGUAGCGCCUCGUGAAUUCAUCUCCGGGGGUAGAGCACUGUUUCGGCAAGGGGGUCAUCCCGACUUACCAACCCGAUGCAAACUGCGAAUACCGGAGAAUGUUAUCACGGGAGACACACGGCGGGUGCUAACGUCCGUCGUGAAGAGGGAAACAACCCAGACCGCCAGCUAAGGUCCCAAAGUCAUGGUUAAGUGGGAAACGAUGUGGGAAGGCCCAGACAGCCAGGAUGUUGGCUUAGAAGCAGCCAUCAUUUAAAGAAAGCGUAAUAGCUCACUGGUCGAGUCGGCCUGCGCGGAAGAUGUAACGGGGCUAAACCAUGCACCGAAGCUGCGGCAGCGACACUAUGUGUUGUUGGGUAGGGGAGCGUUCUGUAAGCCGUUGAAGGUGGCCUGUGAGGGUUGCUGGAGGUAUCAGAAGUGCGAAUGCUGACAUAAGUAACGAUAAAGCGGGUGAAAAGCCCGCUCGCCGGAAGACCAAGGGUUCCUGUCCAACGUUAAUCGGGGCAGGGUGAGUCGACCCCUAAGGCGAGGCCGAAAGGCGUAGUCGAUGGGAAACAGGUUAAUAUUCCUGUACUUGGUGUUACUGCGAAGGGGGGACGGAGAAGGCUAUGUUGGCCGGGCGACGGUUGUCCCGGUUUAAGCGUGUAGGCUGAUUUUCCAGGCAAAUCCGGAGAAUCAAGGCUGAGGCGUGAUGACGAGGCACUACGGUGCUGAAGCAACAAAUGCCCUGCUUCCAGGAAAAGCCUCUAAGCAUCAGGUAACAUCAAAUCGUACCCCAAACCGACACAGGUGGUCAGGUAGAGAAUACCAAGGCGCUUGAGAGAACUCGGGUGAAGGAACUAGGCAAAAUGGUGCCGUAACUUCGGGAGAAGGCACGCUGAUGGUAGGUGAAGCGACUUGCUCGUGGAGCUGAAAUCAGUCGAAGAUACCAGCUGGCUGCAACUGUUUAUUAAAAACACAGCACUGUGCAAACACGAAAGUGGACGUAUACGGUGUGACGCCUGCCCGGUGCCGGAAGGUUAAUUGAUGGGGUCAGCCGCAAGGCGAAGCUCUUGAUCGAAGCCCCGGUAAACGGCGGCCGUAACUAUAACGGUCCUAAGGUAGCGAAAUUCCUUGUCGGGUAAGUUCCGACCUGCACGAAUGGCGUAAUGAUGGCCAGGCUGUCUCCACCCGAGACUCAGUGAAAUUGAACUCGCUGUGAAGAUGCAGUGUACCCGCGGCAAGACGGAAAGACCCCGUGAACCUUUACUAUAGCUUGACACUGAACAUUGAGCCUUGAUGUGUAGGAUAGGUGGGAGGCUUUGAAGUGUGGACGCCAGUCUGCAUGGAGCCGACCUUGAAAUACCACCCUUUAAUGUUUGAUGUUCUAACGUGGACCCGUGAUCCGGGUUGCGGACAGUGUCUGGUGGGUAGUUUGACUGGGGCGGUCUCCUCCUAAAGAGUAACGGAGGAGCACGAAGGUUGGCUAAUCCUGGUCGGACAUCAGGAGGUUAGUGCAAUGGCAUAAGCCAGCUUGACUGCGAGCGUGACGGCGCGAGCAGGUGCGAAAGCAGGUCAUAGUGAUCCGGUGGUUCUGAAUGGAAGGGCCAUCGCUCAACGGAUAAAAGGUACUCCGGGGAUAACAGGCUGAUACCGCCCAAGAGUUCAUAUCGACGGCGGUGUUUGGCACCUCGAUGUCGGCUCAUCACAUCCUGGGGCUGAAGUAGGUCCCAAGGGUAUGGCUGUUCGCCAUUUAAAGUGGUACGCGAGCUGGGUUUAGAACGUCGUGAGACAGUUCGGUCCCUAUCUGCCGUGGGCGCUGGAGAACUGAGGGGGGCUGCUCCUAGUACGAGAGGACCGGAGUGGACGCAUCACUGGUGUUCGGGUUGUCAUGCCAAUGGCACUGCCCGGUAGCUAAAUGCGGAAGAGAUAAGUGCUGAAAGCAUCUAAGCACGAAACUUGCCCCGAGAUGAGUUCUCCCUGAGACUUUAAGUCUCCUGAAGGAACGUUGAAGACGACGACGUUGAUAGGCCGGGUGUGUAAGCGCAGCGAUGCGUUGAGCUAACCGGUACUAAUGGACCGUGAGGCUUAACCUUACAACGCCGAAG